GAAUAGAAGCCCAGAGCCCAAUGCUCAGGAAAGCCAGGCACUUUCUCUUCCAUGGUAGCUGCUGUGGUAAGGAGUUCCCAAGGAGUGCAGAGUCCCUGCUCAUCACGGAAUGCCCCGAUCAAGAGAUCAGACACAGGAGACAAACGGAAACACAUGCAAGUGGUGAGACAAACGGAAACACGUGCAAGUGGUGAGCUGUGACAGUGGUCAGGUCAGAGUGAUGCUACAAGACACAACAGUAAAGGGUGCCACAGAGCUAGGUAAAGUGAGGCAAAAGGAGAAGGCAGCUCAUAGCAAGCAGGAUCCUUGGCAAGGAGAGCCAGCGACUGACUGCAGACAGUGCAGGAGACAGCGUGUGAAGCCGCCCCGGCUGCAGGCUUGUGCAGCUCGCUUUUAUUUAUGGU
rnacentral:lncRNA from 1 species